rnacentral:rRNA from 1 species
AUUGAACGCUGGCGGCAUGCCUUACACAUGCAAGUCGAACGGCAGCGCGGGGCAACCUGGCGGCGAGUGGCGAACGGGUGAGUAAUAUAUCGGAACAUACCCUAGAGUGGGGGAUAACGUAGCGAAAGUUACGCUAAUACCGCAUACGCACUAAGGUGGAAAGUGGGGGAUUCGCAAGAACCUCAUGCUCAUGGAGUGGCCGAUAUCUGAUUAGCUAGUUGGUGAGGUAAAGGCUCACCAAGGCGACGAUCAGUAGCUGGUUUGAGAGAACGACCAGCCACACUGGAACUGAGACACGGUCCAGACUCCUACGGAGGCAGCAGUGGGGAAUUUUGGUACAAUGGGGGCGAACCCUGAUCCAGCAAUGCCGCGUGAGUGAAGAAGGCCUCGG